rnacentral:rRNA from 1 species
GACGAACGCUGGCGGCGUGCCUAAUACAUGCAAGUGGAACGCUGAAGGAAGGAGCUUGCUCUUUCUGGAUGAGUUGCGAACGGGUGAGUAACGCGUAGGUAACCUGCCUGGUAGCGGGGGAUAACUAUUGGAAACGAUAGCUAAUACCGCAUAAAAUUGAUUAUUGCAUGAUAGUCAAUUAAAAGGUGCAACUGCACCACUACCAGAUGGACCUGCGUUGUAUUAGCUAGUUGGUGGGGUAACGGCUCACCAAGGCGACGAUACAUAGCCGACCUGAGAGGGUGAUCGGCCACACUGGGACUGAGACACGGCCCAGACUCCUACGGGAGGCAGCAGUAGGGAAUCUUCGGCAAUGGACGGAAGUCUGACCGAGCAACGCCGCGUGAGUGAAGAAGGGUGUCGGAUCGUAAAGCUCUGUUGUAAGAGAAGAACGAGUGUGAGAGUGGAAAGUUCACACUGUGACGGUAUCUUACCAGAAAGGGACGGCUAACUACGUG